CUCCCUCUGAUAGUCCUCAUUAUUCUAAAUGCCCGUGACUUUAGCAUAAUGGCUUUAUAUAAAGUAUAUAUGUGCCUCUGUGUGUGCACACACGCAUGCACAUGCUUUCGUGCAUGGGUAUGUGCAUGGGAGACCAGAUGAAGAUUUUGGGGGGUUUUCUUCUAUUAUCCACCACCUUAUUUUUUUGAGACAGGGUCUCUCACUGAGCCAGAAGUGUAUCGUUUCAAGGUAGGUCCACUAAGCUGGAGCAGCCAGCUCCUGGGCUGCACCCACGUCAGGACACCAAUAAUGAGGUGACAGGUAUAUGCAUCCAUGUCUGGCUUGUUAUGUGUGUGCUCUGCAUUUGAAUAUGAGGGGUCAACAAAGGGUUGGCAGGUGGCUUUACCAACGAGGUCAGAACUGUGAGAGAAAUGGCCGGGCUGCUGUUCUUCUGUGCGCAUCCACCCUGCCCAUAGAGGAUCUUCCAUCUCACAUAGUCCUAUGGCAAUCUCUGCUGCCUGUGUGGGUGUAGUCCUGACCACAGAGAAAGCAACGAUGCUGAGCUGGUUGUGGGCUCAGACUGCCUGUGUCUUG
rnacentral:lncRNA from 1 species